UACGUAGGGUGCAAGCGCUGUCCGGAAUUAUUGGGCGUAAAGAGCUCGUAGGCGGUUUGUCGCGUCUGCUGGGAAAACUCAGGGCUUAACCCUGAGACUGCAGUGGGUACGGGCAGACUAGAGUGUGGUAGGGGAGGUCGGAAUUCCUGGUGUAGCGGUGGAAUGCGCAGAUAUCAGGAGGAACACCGGUGGCGAAGGCGGAUCUCUGGGCCAUAACUGACGCUGAGGUGCGAAAGCGUGGGGAGCAAACAGG
rnacentral:rRNA from 1 species